UUUUUUUUUAUAGUUUCAAAUAUAAGAAAUCUGUUUCAAUUAAAGUUAAUGUUACACGACCGGAACACACUAAAAGUUACGUUUAAAUCGAGAAAAUGCGUGGCGUUGUAGUCAUUUACGAGACAGAUCACUACGUUAUAUGUAUCAACGGUAUAUAGUGUGAUACAUCAUGUUUUGACAUUGAAUCUACAGAAUAUCUUGUAAAAAUGCUCUAUUUAAUAUCUAUUUAAUAUUAAUGUCAGAAAAUACUGUGAAAAUAUCAGACGCUACAAAACGUUUUUGUGCGACUUUGUUAAGUCAUUGUAGUUCUUUAUACGUAUACGUACACAAUUGAAAAAUUCGUGUUAAAUUUAACAUAUAAAUCAAAUAAUAAUAUAAAUAAAACGUUAUGCAAAUAAUUAUUUUCUUAUUAAAAACGAGAUUAUAGUUCUCUAUUUAGGAAAUGACAGUACAAAAAUUUGUUUUAAACAUUAUAAUUCUCUAUAUUUAGUAUCUAUUAUAAAAUUAAUUUUUAAUUUUGACUUGACACUGAUUAACAAGUGUUUUAACAUCUUCAUUAUAAUCUAUCAAUUAAUUUUUGAUCAACAACACGCCGGUCGUAAGUUAAAAAAUUCUCAAGGUUGAGAUAGUCGUAAGUAGAAGGCUCUGUACAUACAUUCCUACUGUGCUUGCGCUCAAGGUACUCUACCCUCUUUCCAAGAAACCUGCGGACAAAUCGCGGACCAAUCAGCGUUAAGCGUCGAAGUGUCCCGGUCACCAAUAAGCAAACGGCUCGCUCGCCAGUUUAUCGCGAGCCGCGCGUCCGUUGCGUUUGUAUACGAUCGUCACGUAUUCUUUUCCAUCGGGUCGAAGGUAUUUCGGUGUCUCGAAAGUGUGUUUCUCAACAAUACGGUUCUCUCGCGAGUGCGUUUUCUCUUCGAAAACGUGACACGGCGGGAAGGUCGCGUUUGCCGAGCGAAAACACGGCGACGAGUUCGUCGCGGAUCAAACGACGUGAAGUUAACCGUCCUUUCGGACGUUGUCGCCGCCAUCGUGAGUUCGUUUCCGUUUUCCUCGCGUCCCCGAGACCCGUGUCGCGAGUGUCGAAUGGAAUUCGGUAACCUGAGGAAACAUGCGUAUUCGACAGCGAGGCCGAAGACUUUUCGCGAUCCGCUGGCGAGCGGAAAGUGGAGAAUGUGGCGCUGCGUCGAUCCGUGUCGAAGGUAUGAGUGACCUUGAAUUUUGUUCGUCGUCGCCGUUUACACGACGUAUUUCGGGUGACCGCGGAGCGUCCUCGCCUUUAUGCGACGCAUUUUGAUUGAAGGGAGGAGACUCGUAUGUUGCUCUGGCUGUAAUUUUCACAACUUUUAAUUAUCCUUUGCGGAGUGUCGGGAAAUGGGAGAGACCGAGUCCGGACCGAUAAAAAUUUCCCGGUCUCGUUGGACAUCGCACCGAAAUGAGAGCGACGCCAUGGACAUGGACGCGAACGUCAAAUACGAUCGACCGGAGAGUCGUACGUAACGUUGCGGCGUCCUGGUUGCAAUUGUCACGGCACGGUGAGUCAUGUCAAUUCAUGUCAGGAUAUAAAAAUGGUUUAAUUCAAUGGAGUAUCGACACUAACGGCUCGUUCGAGCGUCAUUAGCGUUGUCCGUUUUGGGUAGACGUAAUUAGAAUAUUAAAAAAAAAAAUUUUUAUCCUGUUUAGGAGCGCGAGCGAAACCCCCGAUAUUAUUCAAAUUGAAUCGAAUAAUCUUUGCGUACGAUUUUUCGAUACGAUUCUGCGUGACUGCGUUUGAUCCUGCGUAUAGUAGCUCGCGAACGGACGGAAUCGUAAAAGAAAUAACAGAUUUAAUAUAAAAUGUUCAAUACGACGCACAUGAUUGGAUCCACAAAUAAUGUUUUUAAUGGGAGCUUUUAGGAUUCCAAACAAUAUAUAAAAAAACACCUGUUGCUCCUGCUGAAUUAAGAGCCGAUUUUGAAACGGAAUAUGAAAAACGCAUCGAAACGAAAUGGUUAUUAUUUCCAUUAAUAAAUGAUAGUCUUGAUUUGACGUGUUUUUUUUACCUUCAAGAGAAGUUCCUCUGAACUACCGGGAUAGCGGUAAUUUACCAUGUUUCUGAUGAAAGAGAAGUUACGGAUAUUCAUAAGCUGCAUAUUAUCUGUUUAUCUCUGUAAAUAUUAAUAUAAACAUAUAACGAUACAUUCAAAAGACUAAUUUGAAAUAUCCAGUGAAUAUAAAAGCAUUCAUGUACAGAGGAUAUUUUUUAAAUUUUGUUUAGUAAGUAAACAUUAAUUAGCAAAUGUUUACCUUUUAAAAAUAAAGUUUUAAAAAAUAUGCUCUCUGUACGAAUACUUUUCACAUUCACUGUAUAUGUGUAUCGCUGCGCAUAAAUAAUAAUAAUAAUAAUAAUUUUAUUUUAAUAUUUAUACAUAAUUUCGUAAAUUUUACUCUCGUAUCCCAGGUAGCAGGUCAGGACAGUAAGGACAGUGUUAUUUUUACGUUAAAGUGACGACAAAUAACGUCAGCCUGCAAUCUGGGAUCUUUCCGUCCAACUUUUACCAUGAGCCUCCUCUCUUUCGCAAAGAAAAGAGUGACGAGUCGGUAGAACUGCAGCUGCGAGUGAGGGAAAAAAAGGGGGAGAGAUUUCCGACGGCAGAGGAUCCGCGUCGCGAAAUACCUUAAGCUCGCGUAUCCACCCGCCGACGACGACGACGACGACGACUACGACGACGAGUGCGACUACUGCGACUGUGCUUCAUCCAUAUUCAGCAAUCGCCGAGGAAACGAGUGGAAAGAACGGACGCUCUCGCUUGCGGUGGAAGAGGGGAGGGUGGAGGAGGAGACGAGCGUUAUUCGCUCGCGAUACGCUCCUCAAAGCGCCCCGCGUAUGAUCUAUAUUCCAUUCUGCGAUCCAUUCAGAAUGCCGUCUGCGUCUCCUUAUCUUUCUCUUUUUUUCCCUCUUUCUUUUUUUAUCUGUCUCCACACUCGCCGAGCAAUCCUCCCAUGGCUUUCCCUCAAUGCGCGUAGCCCGGCCGGGAGUUUCUUUUUUCCCCUUUCCCCGCUAACGUUGAUGGCCAUUUUCUUUCGAUAUCGCGCGCAUCUUGAUUCGCAAUCGUUUUUUUCUUCUGUAUCGUCGUAUUUUGUCAAACAGUCGAGAAAUUGAGUUCGGUGUUGUUACGCGCGGAAUAUUUUUCGGGGCGAUAUUUUUAAAACAACGUUUAUAUGCGUGUUU